AAAACAUUUUUCUGCUGAGAGCACAUGAGCAGGAAACAUGGAGAAGAAUCUUUUGGCAGCCCCAUUACUAAUCCUCUGGCUUCAUCUUGACUGCGUGAGCAGCAUACUGAACGUGGAACAAAGUCCUCAGUUACUGCGUGUUCAGGAGGGAGACGGCACCAAUUUCACCUGCAGCUUCCCUUCCAGCAAUUUUUAUGCCUUACACUGGUACAGAUGGGAAACUGCAAAAAGCCCCAAGAACUUGUUUGUAAUGAGUUUAAAUGGGGAUGAAAAGAAGAAAGGACGAAUAAAUGUCACCCUUAAUACAAAGGAGGGUUACAGCUAUUUGUACAUCAAAGGAUCCCAGUCUGAAGACUCAGCCACAUACCUCUGUGCCAUUACACAGUGCUAUUCAGACACCUGCAGCCCAUACGCAAACCUGUGGCUGGUGUUGCACUGCUACUCAGUAUUGACAAAGAACCGUGAGUGGGAUGGAAAAGAUAGGAUGGAAAAGACAAAUUCCUUGAAUUACAGUUUUUUUUUCAAGAGGAUUAUGGAAACAGGAAAAUAAGCAUGCUAGUAAUCACAGCUAACUACCACAAAAGCUAAUUAAGUAAACCUAUUUUUUAUGAUAGAUAUCAGAGUGCUAAUGAAGCAUAAUACAUUACCUGGUAACUUGGCUGUUACUAAACAAUACUAAUUCCAACUCCCAACAACACGUUAACUACAUCAUUGACUCAGACCCAUCGUCUGCUCACUUGGCAUGAUUUCGAAAGGACCCAACAGUCACUCAAACCUAUCUAAAACAAUUGGGUAAAUAAAAGUAAUGUUUACCCUCUCAUUAUCCCUAUGUCCUAAAAAUGAGUUCUUCUAUCGUAUUUUUUCCACAAGCACAAAUGGAGCAUGUGGCAUGCCCCCUCCUCACACACCUGGCAUGGAAAUAUGCAUGUUUAAUACCAGAGCAGGUGAUGCUGCCUCCUUUAAUCCAUUGGGGAUUUUGGUUUUGCUUCAGUUCAACUUUCCCCCUACAUGAACAUUUGCAUUUUUAUUUCUUCUCACAUGUGGCUAUUUUCAUUUUUAAAUAUCACUCAUAAUAUCAUAAAGGAGCACUGAUGAAGGACCUUCACUAUUAAUAUGGUCUAUCUCCCAGCCUGUACUGUGAUUGUGAUAUUGGAUGACUAACUGAACUCUAUUAUCAAAGUCUCUUCAUUUGUAAUUUCCAGGUAUAUGAAGAAGG